rnacentral:rRNA from 1 species
CUUGCUUUCUUUGCCGGCGACCGGCGCACGGGUGAGUAACACGUAUCCAACCUGCCGAUGACUCGGGGAUAGCCUUUCGAAAGAAAGAUUAAUACCCGAUAGCAUAAUGAUUCCGCAUGGUUUCAUUAUUAAAGGAUUCCGGUAAAGGAUGGGGAUGCGUUCCAUUAGGUUGUUGGUGGGGUAACGGCCCACCAAGCCUUCGAUGGAUAGGGGUUCUGAGAGGAAGGUCCCCCACAUUGGAACUGAGACACGGUCCAAACUCCUACGGGAGGCAGCAUG